rnacentral:rRNA from 1 species
UACGUAGGGUGCGAGCGUUGUCCGGAAUUAUUGGGCGUAAAGAGCUCGUAGGCGGUCUGUCGCGUCGAAUGUGAAAACCCGGGGCGUCAACUCCGGGCUUGCAUUCGAUACGGGCAGGCGUAGAGUUCGGUAGGGGAGUCUGGGAAUUCCUGGAUGUAGCGGUGAAAUGACGCAGAUAUCAGGAGGAACACCGGUGGCGAAGGCGGGACUCUGGGCCGAUACUGACGCUGAGGAGCGAAAGCGUGGGGAGCGAACAGG